CCUUCAUGAAGUCGGAAUUGCUGUAAUGGCAGGUCAGCAUACUGCCGUGAAUACGUUCCCGGGCCUUGUACACACCGCCCGUCACACCAUGAGAGUUGGAAAUACCCGAAGCCUGUGAGCUAACAGUAAUGAGGCAGCAGUCGAAGGUAGAGCCAAUGAUUGGGGUGAAGUCGUAACAAGGUAAC
rnacentral:rRNA from 1 species